rnacentral:rRNA from 1 species
AUACGGAGGAUGCAAGCGUUAUCCGGAUUUAUUGGGUUUAAAGGGUGCGCAGGCGGGCUGUUAAGUCAGCGGUGAAAUCUCCCGGCUCAACCGGGGAACUGCCGUUGAUACUGGCAGCCUAGAGUACAGACGGCGCCGGCGGAAUGUGUCAUGUAGCGGUGAAAUGCUUAGAUAUGCCACAGAACACCGAUCGCGAAGGCAGCUGGCGAGGCUGGAACUGACGCUCAGGCACGAAAGCGUGGGGAUCAAACAGGAUUAGAUACCCUGGUAGUCCACGCAGUAAACGAUGAAGACUUGUUGUCGGCGAUAGAAUGUCGGUGACAAAGCGAAAGCGAUAAGUCUUCCACCUGGGGAGUACGAUCGCAAGGUUGAAACUCAAAUGAAUUGGCGGGG